rnacentral:rRNA from 1 species
GAUGAACGCUAGCGGCAGGCCUAACACAUGCAAGCCGAGGGGCAGCAUAAAACAAGCUUGCUUGUUUGGUGGCGACCGGCACACGGGUGCGUAACGCGUAUGCAACCUACCCUGUACUGGGGGAUAGCCCGGAGAAAUUCGGAUUAAGCCCCCAUAGUAUAAUUGAAUCGCAUGGUUUGAUUAUUAAAGGUUACGGUACAGGAUGGGCAUGCGUCCUAUUAGCUUGUUGGUGAGGUAACGGCUCACCAAGGCGACGAUAGGUAGGGGGCCUGAGAGGGUGGUCCCCCACACUGGUACUGAGACACGGACCAGACUCCUACGGGAGGCAGCAGUGAGGAAUAUUGGUCAAUGGGCGCAAGCCUGAACCAGCCAUGCCGCGUGCAGGAAGAAGGUCCUAUGGAUUGUAAACUGCUUUUAUUUGGGAAUAAACCUCUUUACGUGUAGAGAGCUGAAGGUACCAAAUGAAUAAGCACCGGCUAACUCCGUGCCAGCAGCCGCCGCAGUAA